GAUGAACGCUGGCGGCGUGCCUAAUACAUGCAAGUCGAGCGAACAGAUGAGGAGCUUGCUCCUCUGACGUUAGCGGCGGACGGGUGAGUAACACGUGGAUAACCUACCUAUAAGACUGGGAUAACUUCGGGAAACCGGAGCUAAUACCGGAUAAUAUAUUGAACCGCAUGGUUCAAUAGUGAAAGACGGUUUUGCUGUCACUUAUAGAUGGAUCCGCGCCGCAUUAGCUAGUUGGUAAGGUAACGGCUUACCAAGGCAACGCUGCGUAGCCGACCUGAGAGGGGGAUCGGCCACACUGGAACUGAGACACGGACCAGACUCCUGCGGGAGGCAGCAGUAGGGAAUCUUCCGCAAUGGGCGAAAGCCUGACGGAGCAACGCCGCGUGAGUGAUGAAGGUCUUCGGAUCGUAAAACUCUGUUAUUAGGGAAGAACAAAUGUGUAAGUAACUAUGCACGUCUUGACGGUACCUAAUCAGAAAGCCACGGCUAACUACGUG
rnacentral:rRNA from 1 species